ACGUCCCGCGAAUAUUAACACCCCGCGUCGCCCUGUUCUCGAGGUCAGUCUCGAGAGCAGAUCCACUUUCAAAACACGGCGGAAUAUCGUGAUAGACUCGCGUGAGAGCAAACCGAGGCGGAGAUCAAUGAGAUUCCAUUACAAACGGCAGCGUUAGAUGGGAAGUCGCCGUCGCCACCGAAGGGACCGCACCGCCGAAGCAAUUAGCCGCUGUUUGGAUAGGCAAUUAGAGAAUGUAAAUAGACUGCACUUCCACCACUGCUCAAAACACACCGCAACAUAAUUAAUCAUCCUUUACUCCACUGCAGAUUUUUUUUCGUGGGGAAACAUCAGAGAAAGUGUCGGGCACCCUGGAACUCAGCAGCCAAUUAUUUUGCAGUGGCGCACUUCCUGCCGAGAACUCAAGUGAGAUUCUUCCUGUUAGCGGUGGAAGCAGCUAGCGAGGGUAUCACAAACAUUUACGAGGGCGCCAGCCAAAUAAAGGUCAAUCACUCCCCGCAACCCUUGUGAGGAUAAGCGGCUAAGAAAAUGGAUGGAUGGAUGUUAAGAAUGGGAGAACCAAGAGUAGUAGUCAAGUAGUCCGAUUUUCGCUGUUCAUGGCCUGGCCCAUUCCCUGUCUCCGGGAAUCGGCGAAUGAACUCCUGCUGGAAAACUUCUGGUUCAGCCACAAGGGGGCACUCGAGCGGAAAAGUUCGUUGCCUUGCGUGAGUGAGUUGCAUUCACUGCCUGUGGGACUCUCCGCUUCUACGCUCAUCGGACCUUGCUGCAUGUCUUUUGGAUCCCGCCUAGCCUAGAAUAUCUGUGCCUCUGCCUUGUCGGACUGCUACACCCUGUAUGACCCAGUUUCCAGAAUAAACCAAAUUGAACAUUAUGCCUGUGCCUUGAAGUCCUGCAUUUUUUCGUCUGCCCCCGCACCGGAGGUACGCCUCCUUAUCUCAAUGAUGAAGUUGAAGACUAGUAACUCUGCGCUGAGCUCGACCAGUCUCAACGGGUCUGAGACCAAGACAAGACCAGAUCACUUUUGGGAUUCUAGUAAGAAACAAGGGUUUGGCUGUUUGUCUCAAUAUGCCCUGUGAUUGGCUGGCGACCAGUUCAGGGCGUACCCCGCCUCCUGCCCGUUGACAACUGAACUAACACAAUUGAGACUCCUUUGGUUCUCCGUGUUGCUAUGCAGGGGAAAUAACGCAUAAAGUCAAAUUCCUUCCUUCUUUUUUGGAAAAACCGUAUCGCUUCCCGACGAUUGUCUUUUUAACGCCGCCGCAGGUGCGGGCAAGGACACGCGGCUGCGCUGCAUCCAAUCGCUUGGCCCCGAUAAACGGCGCAAGACGGAUGAGCGCGCUUUCGUGCAGUCAGCAAAUCACUUGGGCGGAGAUUGAUGGUUCUGGCGCGUCUGCAGGCGUCGUCGUUCGGUCAUUUCUUUGCCGUACUGAAAAAAAAAAAAAAAAAAGUCAAUGUCAUAAAAUAAAAUCAUUUAAUACAUUUUGGGGUGAUGGGAAGAUAGCAGAAAUAAAAUAAACGGGGUUUCUUGCGAUAUGAGUGACUUAUGAGAUGUGAGUUGUCGUUCAGCCGUUUUUGUUUAUUUUAAUUUUGUGUUUAGAUUUUUUUUUUGGGGGGGGGGGCAGGGUCUUUCAAGUUUGACCCCACGUGCACAAUGUGGUGGCAGUAAACUCAACUCUAUUUUCUUCACAUUAAGCAAAACUUUGGCAAAUAGCGAACAUAAAAGCCAAUUUUUACAGAAUAAUUUUAAAUUAAAGCCAUUUUAUGGGAAGCAAUCACAUUGAGGGAAAAAUAUAUACAAAAUACAUCGCUUCCCCAAACACAGAUUUUGAAGAUUUUUUUCCAACUGGGAAAUGGCGCCUGAUAUCACAUUAUGUACUUUAUGUCCUGCACUGACAGUCUAAUUAAGGAGAUUAAGAUGUUUUGGGUUUUUUUUUUUUUUUUGGUGGGGGGGGGCAUCCCACCCGCCGCAGGGAUCUCAUCACAGGUGAUUGCUGUGAAAAUUCGUCUCCUUUCUUUUUGUGUUUUGCGCUCUCUGCCGCAAUGCAACAAUACUAGAAAAGACGGCGACUGUAUUACAAAAAUGUACUUUGAGGGACUUAAGUCGGUUUAAGGUCUUCAGAGUGGAUCCAGUACGCCACCUUUGUGGUCACUUACAGUCGCAUAUGUGGGUUCAAUGUUUGCAGGUCUUUUAUUUUAUAAUCGUGCCUGUGAGUGUAUCUGUCCAUAAAUACAUAG